rnacentral:rRNA from 1 species
UACGUAGGCAGCAAGCGUUGUUCGGAAUUACUGGGCGUAAAGCGUGCGCAGGCGGUUUUGUAAGUCUGUCGUGAAAUCCCCGGGCUCAACCUGGGAAUUGCGAUGGAGACUGCAAGGCUAGAAUCUGGCAGAGGGGGGUAGAAUUCCACGUGUAGCAGUGAAAUGCGUAGAGAUGUGGAGGAACACCGAUGGCGAAGGCAGCCCCCUGGGUCAAGAUUGACGCUCAUGCACGAAAGCCAGGGGAGCGAACGGG